rnacentral:rRNA from 1 species
CCUACGGGGGGUAGCAGUGAGGAAUAUUGGUCAAUGGGCGAGAGCCUGAACCAGCCAAGUCGCGUGAAGGAUGACGGAUCUAUGGUUUGUAAACUUCUUUUAUAUGGGAAUAAAAUGAGGAACGUGUUCCUUUUUGUAUGUACCUUAUGAAUAAGCAUCGGCUAACUCCGUGCCAGCAGCCGCGGUAAUACGGAGGAUGCGAGCGUUAUCCGGAUUUAUUGGGUUUAAAGGGUGCGUAGGUGGGUAAUUAAGUCAGCGGUGAAAGUUUGUGGCUCAACCAUAAAAUUGCCAUUGAAACUGGUAGACUUGAGUAUAUUUGAGGUAGGCGGAAUGCGUGGUGUAGCGGUGAAAUGCAUAGAUAUCACGCAGAACUCCGAUUGCGAAGGCAGCUUACUAAACUAUAACUGACACUGAAGCACGAAAGCGUGGGGAUCAAACAGGAUUAGAUACCCGGGUAGUC